GUCAUGUAUCAGGGCCCAGCAACAGUCAGCACAUGCUUUGUGAUCUUGGGCAAGCUGUGUGACUUGUCUGGGCUUCGACUUGGAAGUGCUUGGUCUGGGGCUUGAGAAACAGGAUGAAAGCUGCAGGGAAAGGUGGUCACCAAGCUUUCCUAAAUCAGAAGAUGUGGCUGAGCCUGCAUGGUUUCCCAGGAGGAGAGACCCUUUGCAACAUGAAAUGAGACCCUUGAGGCACAAAGAUGCUAAAUAACUUCCAUCUGGCAAACAGAGCUUGGACCCUCACCUCCAGAUGUUAAGUCUAGACUUCUUCCUGCGAUACUGAAUACAUUCUCCAAAUCCUAUCAGAAUCCGUUGACAAUUCCUGCUGGACUUGCCCUGGGAGGGCAGGAACCAAGCAUUGUUCCUCUGACCCCCAGUCCCAAGCUCUGUGCCUGGCCGUGAAUAUUUGAUGAAUAAAUGAC